UGGAGUGAAGAGCACCCAUCUGAGAUAACACCAUUUAGAAACUGAUUAUUACUACUUUACUUUUUUUAAGUGUGUUUUGUGUUUUUUGUCAUAUGUGAGGGUAAACCCUUCACUGUGUGUACAUGAAAUUUUCUAAUGAAGAUUAGUCACUAGUGGUUAUUAAAAAAGUGAAAAAUAUUUUGGCAUAUUAGAGAUUUUUGAAUGGUUUGUGGGGACAAUGAGCUAAGCCGGGAUAUAAGGUAAUUUGUUGGUUAUUCCGAGGAGUGUGUCCUUGUUAAUGUUUUGGUUUGACUCUUUGAUGUUUGUCUCUUCUUUUUAGGCGAGAAAUGGAGAGAGAAGGGUUGGAGGCUUUGUGGUUAUGGCAGACACAGACACAUAAAGCGGAAAGCUAC
rnacentral:lncRNA from 1 species